CCUUACUAGUAGCAUUCCCACACUUGGAAGCCUUCUGUCCCCCAUUUACUUUCAGUUCAUGGAUAAGCUGGCCUCAUCUCUUGGUCCAUGAUUCUAUGCCAAUAUUUUCAAAUGCAAGCACAUAUCAGAAACUGGAGCCCAACGGAUGCUAUUGGAUACACAAGCUGUGAAAACCUUUCUUCUAGACAUACCUACACUAGCUCGACAGUCAUCAAGUGCUGCUAGCUAUUCAAAAUUUGUGAGCCGUGAGAUGAGUAAAGCUGAAGCACUUUUGAAGGUAAUACUAUCGCCAGUAGAUUCUGUAGCAGAUACAUAUCGUGCAUUGCUACCAGAGGGAACACCAAUGGAAUUUCAGCGUAUUUUAUAGCUUAAGGGUCUUAAAAAAGGUGAUCAGCAGACUAUACUGGAUGACUUCAACAAACAUGGACCAGCAAUUACACAACCUUGUAUUCCACCAUCAGUUGCCCCGGCUGUCCCAGCCGCUCCAGCAGCUCCUGUGAUUGCAAAUAAUGCUUCACUUGGCUUUAUUGCUUCGUGAGAAGACGUGCUAACAAGAGCAGCUGCCCUUGGACGAGGGGCGGCCACAACAGGAUUCAAGCGGUUCCUUGCUUUAACUGAAGCUGCCAAAGACAGGAAGGAUGGACCUUUCAGGAAACUCUUUAACACAUGACAUUCUCAGUUGCAAUAUUUUUUGAAAAACUGAAUCAGAUUCUUUUGUAGAUAAUAU